rnacentral:rRNA from 1 species
AGUAAAUUGGUUAAGUUAGAAAGGGCGCACGGUGGAUGCCUUGGCACUAGGAGCCGAAGAAGGACGGGACUAACACCGAUAUGCUUUGGGGAGCUGUACGUAAGCGUUGAUCCAGAGAUUUCCGAAUGGGGGAACCCACUAUUUUUAGUCGGAUAGUAUCCUUACGUGAAUACAUAGCGUGAGGAAGGCAGACCCAGGGAACUGAAACAUCUAAGUACCUGGAGGAAGAGAAAGAAAAAUCGAUUUCCUGAGUAGCGGCGAGCGAAACGGAAAGAGCCCAAACCAAGAAGCUUGCUUCUUGGGGUUGUAGGACACUCUAUACGGAGUUACAAAAGAAAGUUAUAAAUGAAGCGGUCUGGAAAGGCCCGCCAAAGACGGUAACAGCCCGGUAGUUGAAAUGGCUUUCCCUCCAGAGUGGAUCCUGAGUACGGCGGAACA